AGCGAACGCUGGCGGCAGGCUUAACACAUGCAAGUCGAGCGGGCACUUUCGGGUGUCAGCGGCGGACGGGUGAGUAACGCGUGGGAGCGUGCCCUCUGGUUCGGAAUAACUCAGGGAAACUUGAGCUAAUACCGGAUACGCCCUUUUGGGGAAAGGCUUGCUGCCGGAGGAUCGGCCCGCGUCUGAUUAGCUAGUUGGUGAGGUAACGGCUCACCAAGGCGACGAUCAGUAGCUGGUCUGAGAGGAUGAUCAGCCACACUGGGACUGAGACACGGCCCAGACUCCUACGGGAGGCAGCAGUGGGGAAUAUUGGACAAUGGGCGCAAGCCUGAUCCAGCCAUGCCGCGUGAGUGAUGAAGGCCUUAGGGUUGUAAAGCUCUUUUAUCCGGGACGAUAAUGACGGUACCGGAGGAAUAAGCCCCGGCUAACUUCGUG
rnacentral:rRNA from 1 species